AGCCAGUCGUUGUAUAUCAGCACACACCAACGGCGAGUGAGCAGCAAUAGCUCAAAUUUGAAAUCUGGCGUCUUCGACGUCCGAGUUGUAAUUUGUAGAGGAUGCUUCUGAGUGGCCACCGACCUAAGUUCCUUGGAACAGGACGUCAUAGAGGGUGAGAAUCCCGUAUGCGGUCGGAAAGGCGCUCUAUACGUAGCUCCUUCGACGAGUCGAGUUGUUUGGGAAUGCAGCUCUAAAUGGGAGGUAAAUUUCUUCUAAAGCUAAAUAUUGGCCAGAGACCGAUAGCGCACAAGUAGAGUGAUCGAAAGAUGAAAAGCACUUUGGAAAGAGAGUUAAAAAGCACGUGAAAUUGUUAAAAGGGAAGGGAUUGCAACCAGACUUGCUCGCGGUGUUCCGCCGGUCUUCUGACCGGUCUACUCGCCGCGUUGCAGGCCAGCAUCGUCUGGUGCCGCUGGAUAAGACUUGAGGAAUGUAGCUCCCUCGGGAGUGUUAUAGCCUCUUGUGAUGCAGCGAGCGCCGGGCGAGGUCCGCGCUUCGGCUAGGAUGCUGGCGUAAUGGUCGUAAUCCGCCCGUCUUGAAACACGGACCAAAAAAAAAAAAAAAAAAAUAUUUCGGAUGUUUAAAUUUUUUGUGUCCUUCUAAGCGGUGAGUUUCGUAUGUUUUUU
rnacentral:rRNA from 1 species